UACGAAGGGGGCUAGCGUUGUUCGGAAUCACUGGGCGUAAAGCGCACGUAGGCGGAUUUUUAAGUCAGGGGUGAAAUCCCGAGGCUCAACCUCGGAACUGCCUUUGAUACUGGAGAUCUUGAGUCCGGAAGAGGUAAGUGGAACUGCGAGUGUAGAGGUGAAAUUCGUAGAUAUUCGCAAGAACACCAGUGGCGAAGGCGGCUUACUGGUCCGGAACUGACGCUGAGGUGCGAAAGUGUGGGGAGCAAACAGG
rnacentral:rRNA from 1 species